rnacentral:rRNA from 1 species
UAUCUCUGUAGAGUCUGCAUAUCAAUAAGCGGAGGAAAAGAAACUAACGAGGAUUCCCUUAGUAACGGCGAGUGAAGCGGGAAGAGCUCAAAUUUGAAAUCUUCAAGGUUCUACCUUGACGAAUUGUAGUUUAAAGAAGUGUUUUCUGUUAGAUGAGUAGCAAAAGUUCCUUGGAAUGGGACAUCAUAGAGGGUGAGAAUCCCGUAUUUGGUUAUUCAUUCUAGCUUUGUGAUACACUUUCAAAGAGUCGGAUUGUUUGGGAAUGCAGUCCAAAAUGGGUGGUAAAUUUCAUCUAAAGCUAAAUAUUGGCGAGAGACCGAUAGCGAACAAGUACCGUGAGGGAAAGAUGAAAAGAACUUUGAAAAGAGAGUUAAACAGUACGUGAAAUUGUCAAAAGGGAAGCGUUUGACACCAGUGUUGUUUUUCCGAAAAUCAAUUACGAAUGGCUUGAUUCUGUGUUGUAUUGACCUUAUCAGCUUUCUUCACUUUUUUCGAGUCUUUCUUAAUGCACUUUUCGGUUAACAAGUCAACAUCAAUUUCUUUUGUUGUAAAAGAGUAUUCGGAAGGUGGCUUUCUUUUCGGAGGAAGUGUUUAUAGCCCUAUACUUCUACAAUCGGAGAGAUUGAGGUCUGCAGCGUAGAUCCUUCGGGGUUAGAUACACUUGUGCUAAGUUGUAGCUUUUCAUAGACAACUUGUUGACUAUGUUUAGUCAUGCGGCUUACUCGCUUAUGCUAUUUUACCUACGCUUAGGAUGUUGAAGAUGUAGCACAUCAU